CACGUAGGGGGCAAGCGUUGUCCGGAUUUAUUGGGCGUAAAGAGCUCGUAGGUGGCUCGGUAAGUCGGGUGUGAAAUUUCGAGGCUCAACCUCGAGACGCCACCUGAUACUGCUGUGGCUAGAGUCCGGUAGGGGAGCGUGGAAUUCCUGGUGUAGCGGUGAAAUGCGCAGAUAUCAGGAGGAACACCAGCGGCGAAGGCGGCGCUCUGGGCCGGUACUGACACUGAGGAGCGAAAGCGUGGGGAUCAAACAGG
rnacentral:rRNA from 4 species